GUGGGGAAUUUUGGGCAAUGGGCGCAAGCCUGAUCCAGCCAUUCCGCGUGCAGGAUGAAGGCCUUCGGGUUGUAAACUGCUUUUGUACGGAACGAAAAGCCUCUGGUUAAUACCCGGGGGUCAUGACGGUACCGUAAGAAUAAGCACCGGCUAACUACGUGCCAGCAGCCGCGGUAAUACGUAGGGUGCGAGCGUUAAUCGGAAUUACUGGGCGUAAAGCGUGCGCAGGCGGUGAUGUAAGACAGUUGUGAAAUCCCCGGGCUCAACCUGGGAACUGCAUCUGUGACUGCAUUGCUGGAGUGCGGCAGAGGGGGAUGGAAUUCCGCGUGUAGCAGUGAAAUGCGUAGAUAUGCGGAGGAACACCGAUGGCGAAGGCAAUCCCCUGGGCCUGCACUGACGCUCAUGCACGAAAGCGUGGGGAGCAAACAGGAUUAGAAACCCUUGUAGUCC
rnacentral:rRNA from 1 species